GACGAACGCUGGCGGCGUGCUUAACACAUGCAAGUCGAACGGAAAGGCCUGCUUUCCCUUGUGGAUUGCGGGUACUCGAGUGGCGAACGGGUGAGUAACACGUGAGUGAUCUGCCCCCAACUUGGGUGUAAGCCUGGGAAACUGGGUCUAAUUCCCGAUAGGACUGCAGGGUGGUGCCUGUGGUGGAAAACGAUUUUCUAGUGGUUGGGGAUGAGCUCGCGGCCUAUCAGCUUGUUGGUGGGGUAAUGGCCUACCAAGGCGGCGACGGGUAGCCGGCCUGAGAGGGUGGACGGCCACAUUGGGACUGAGAUACGGCCCAGACUCCUACGGGAGGCAGCAGUGGGGAAUAUUACACAAUGGGCGGAAGCCUGAUGCAGCGACGCCGCGUGGGGGAUGACGGCCUUCGGGUUGUAAACUCCUUUCGACCGCGAGGAAGCCACCUGGUUGGAAGGGUGGUGACGGUAGUGGUAGAAGAAGCACCGGCUAACUACGUG
rnacentral:rRNA from 1 species